rnacentral:rRNA from 1 species
GAUGAACGCUGGCGGCGUGCCUAAUACAUGCAAGUCGAGCGAACAGACGAGGAGCUUGCUCCUCUGACGUUAGCGGCGAACGGGUGAGUAACACGUGGAUAACCUACCUUUAAGACUGGGAUAACUUCGGGAAACCGGAGCUAAUACCGGCUAAUAUCUUGAACCGCAUUGUUCAAUAGUGAAAGACGGUUUUGCUGUCACUUAUAGAUGGAUCCGCGCCGCAUUAGCUAGUUGGUAAGGUAACGGCUUACCAAGGCAACGAUGCGUAGACGACCUGAGAGGGUGAUCGGCCACACUGGAACUGAGACACGGUCCAGACUCCUACGGGAGGCAGCAGUAGGGAAUCUUCGGCAAUGGGCGAAAGCCUGACGGAGCAACGCCGCGUGAGUGAUGAAGGUCUUCGGAUCGUAAAACUCUGUUAUUAGGGAAGAACAAAUGUGUAAGUAACUAUGCACGUCUUGACGGUACCUAAUCAGAAAGCCACGGCUAACUACGUG